rnacentral:rRNA from 1 species
UACAGAGGGUGCAAGCGUUAUUCGGAAUUACUGGGCGUAAAGCGCGCGUAGGCGGACCUGCAAGUCGGGGGUGAAAGCCCGAGGCUCAACCUCGGAACUGCCUUCGAUACUGCGGGUCUCGAGUCCGGGAGAGGUGAGUGGAAUUCCUAGUGUAGAGGUGAAAUUCGUAGAUAUUAGGAAGAACACCAGUGGCGAAGGCGGCUCACUGGCCCGGUACUGACGCUGAGGCGCGAAAGCGUGGGGAGCAAACAGG